UAUUACAUACAAUUCUUUUUAUAUAUACUGUAUAAUUGAAAUACGAAGACAAAAGAUAGUAUGUUGGCCUAUUGUUCUGACGACUAUUAUUUAUUACUGUGGUGAGAAGAAACAAGACAUGUUUUUUAAAAGUAAAAACAAUGUGAACAAGGUUGCUAUGUGGAAUUGUGUUAAGCAAUCGAGGGUUAAAGGGUUUAAGCCUCUGGUUUCCUUCAGUGUCGGUUUUUUCUUCUGCCAGAAGCCUAAAAGGCCUUUGUUUGUCCAUGGAGCAUGCUUUCUCUUAAAUUAAAUAAGGUGAUUGAACAAGUGCCUGGGGUUUUCCUUGAAGGCAAGCGUUUUUUUACAUAUCAAAUAAUUAGAAGAUUGUUUUACUAGCCGUGAUCCUACUUUACCUUAUUCCUAAUCCACCACCUGAGCUGCUGCUGUUCACUGUGGCCGAAGAAGGAAAGUUAGAGCUUCUGACAUGUAAACAGUGUGACUUAAAGUCUAUAAUGUAAAGACAACGUAGGAAACGUGUGUUAUUGUAUUCUCAAUUUGUCCAUAUAGCAUGCUUAUCAUUAUUUAAACAAUAGGGUGAAUAAAUAAUCUAACACCAAAAGAAAAUCACUUAAAAUAAACUAAAACAUUUUAAAGACUGAGAAAAUAAUUCAUGUUAUUUGGUGGAACUGGUUCUCUGUGUGAUAUCGUUGAGUCAGUCAAUUCAAUAUUUUCUGUGCGUAUCUUUUUCUCAUCCCUCUCCACCUCCUGAGUCAUCUGCCUCCAGACACAUCCAGAGUUACCUUGGCAACAUAGAAGAAACAGGACGAGCUGGAGAGCAGACACGAGAGGAACUCAACGUCCUUCCAGAGCGGGAGAGAAGUGCUCAUCAGUGGAACAAGUGUCAUGGCCGCUCACCUGCCUGCAAUCAACUCAUGGCCUCCAGCAGACCGACGCCCGGCUCUCCAACUCGGUGCCCGAGGGCCUCAACUGCUGUGGAAAUCAGCUGCUUCUGGCGUCUCUACUCUCUUGGUUUUUCGGUGAUGUGAUGAACUGACAUUCUCCAUAUUUCUUGUUUUCGAUGUCAUCGGGCAUUUGCUGGGGCCCGAAGAAAACACGAAAGAGCCGAAAGCCCGAAGGAGCCACUGAGCACACUUUGUCACCUUUGGUGUUGCAUUCAAUAAAACACUCACGCCUCGAAAAGGGGCACCUUUGUAUUGUGAGCUUUACUUUAACUUCAGUGGUGUCGAGUUAAUGUGGCGAAUAGGUUUUUAAACUGUGAAUCGCUCGCAGCUGUUGUAAAAAAUGCCGACAGUUGCUAUAAUGACGCUUAAAACUCUUCCUGCACACACAGUCAUCUGGAUGACUUUGUAGAGCAAAGAAUAGAUCUUCAAAUAAAAAAUUUAAAAAGUG